AAUAAGUGCAGCCGUGGAAAUCCGUGUCCAACGUUUGACCGUCCGUCUUAUUUGAAAAAUUUAUGAGAAAAUUAAAAAAAGUUAGUCACACAUAAAGUACUAUUUAUGUUUUAUCAUAUAAUAUCAAUAAAAAUAUUAAUCAUAAAAAAAUUAAUAUUUAUGUUGGACACGAAAACUCAUGGUUUGUCUUUUU
rnacentral:pre_miRNA from 1 species